rnacentral:rRNA from 1 species
UACGGAGGGGGCAAGCGUUAUUCGGAAUUACUGGGCGUAAAGGGCGCGCAGGCGGCUGCUCAAGUCAGGCGUGAAAGGUCUGGGCUCAACCCGGGAAUUGCGCUUGAGACUGGGCUGGCUUGAGUGCGGGAGAGGAUGGUGGAAUUCCCAGUGUAGAGGUGAAAUUCGUAGAUAUUGGGAAGAACACCGGUGGCGAGGGCGGCCAUCUGGACCGCAACUGACGCUGAGGCGCGAAAGCGUGGGGAGCAAACAGG